AACGAACGCUGGCCGCAGGCUUAACACAUGCAAGUCGAGCGCCCCGCAAGGGGAGCGGCAGACGGGUGAGUAACGCGUGGGAACGUACCCUUUGCUACGGAAUAGCUCCGGGAAACUGGAAUUAAUACCGUAUGUGCCCUACGGGGGAAAGAUUUAUCGACAAAGGAUCGGCCCGCGUUGGAUUAGCUAGUUGGUGGGGUAAUGGCCUACCAAGGCGACGAUCCAUAGCUGGUCUGAGAGGAUGAUCAGCCACAUUGGGACUGAGACACGGCCCAAACUCCUACGGGAGGCAGCAGUGGGGAAUAUUGGACAAUGGGCGCAAGCCUGAUCCAGCCAUGCCGCGUGAGUGAUGAAGGCCUUAGGGUUGUAAAGCUCUUUCACCGGAGAAGAUAAUGACGGUAUCCGGAGAAGAAGCCCCGGCUAACUUCGUGCCAGCAGCCGCCGUAAAAC
rnacentral:rRNA from 1 species